CUUAUUUCACACAGAAGCACCAGAAUCAGGUGUUCGGUGUAACAAUGUACCUCAGAUUGACUGGAUAUGAUAUGGAAAUUGCUAUAUGUGGUGAAAAGUUGUUUAUUGUAGCGUCUAAAACAACUGACCUCUUUUGCUGAUGCUCCAGUGAGAUGGAAUAACUUGAUAGUAAUGACAACAAAGUGGGCAGUGUAACCUGAAUAUGACCCAGUUUAGGAAUAACAUGCAACAGUAGGGUGCAGUUGACUUCUGCAGAUCACCUAAAGUUCUUUCAGGUUAAUGACACUGUCAGGAGUCUCUCUUUGUUGCUGUCAAUAAAAAGUCAUUAAUACAUACACCUUGUUCAUGUACAAAAUCUGACAGGGUUGUUCAAUCUAAUGAAUAUAAAAAAACAGAAGCUUAGAUUUGGAACAUACACGUUACAUAUGUUUCUCUAUUGGUUGCAGCUGAACAUAAAACCUCGUGUGAAAGCCAAAGGUGAGGCUGCUCUUCUCUGGAUUAAUGUAGGAGGGGGAGGAAACAGAAAGGGCACAUUUAUACUCUGAAGAGAUGAGGGUUUACAUAAAAAAAAAAAAAUCCAGCCUCUCGAAGCUAUCUUUCAUUUGCUGAAGUACGUACUAUAAUUCCACUUAAUCUGAUGUUGGGGACAUAAUGUCGACAAGGUACUUACUUACACAGAUUUAUAUAUUUCCAUAGGACCUAUUUAUAUUUCUGUAUUUAUUUUAGAAUCUCUUAAUAAGUGAUAUCAGCACCAUACCAGAUAAUACUAAGCAAUGUUCCCCUAAUUGUGUGUAUGUACAGAAUUCAUAACAUGUCCAUGAUUUUUAAAGGAAACAUGUCAUUUGCUUUGUAUAAUCUCUCUACUUACUUACUUUAGUACGGCGCAGGAGCGGGACAUUUUCAUUACAUGAUGCUACAGACAAAGACUUUCUACCUGAAGGCUCAACCUUUUUGUUUCACGAAGGCAGUGACUGGUUCAACACUUCUUAUGAGGACUCGCAACCUUUUGAGGAGGACAGUAUUUGCUAUUUGCUAUUGCUCAAUGGAUAUCUAUUUUUUUCUGCAUUUAACAUGGGAACUAUGGGAAAAAGCAAUAAGGGAACUGUGCAGGUGUGGUGUGAUUUGAUGGGUACCGAUGGGACAUUGCGCUGACCCACACAACAACCACACACACAGGUAGCCGUGGCUCAUAGUUUGUGUGUCGGUGAAAGGAGUGAACUGUCAAUAAGCACACAUACUGGAUGAAAUAAAAUGGCAUAGAAUAAAAUAUAAGGAACACC
ensembl:lncRNA